CUUACAGUAACUUGGCUUUCAGUUUAUGUGAUUUGCCAGAAACAAUUAACCAGAUCAUUCAGGAGUGGAAACUGGGGUAGUAAGUUUCCAUGGGCGGGUGUGGUCAGUGGCGCUUGAGGGGGAAUCAGGAAAGGUCCGAGUCUGGGAGGUCCCAGAUUUUACAAUAAGCUUCGUUGAGUAUCUCAGAAAGAUAUUGGACAACUAAAGCUCACCAAAAGUUGUGGGCAUGGAAAGCAAGGGAAACGGGAAAAUACAUCUCCAAAAGAAGUGCCCUUUCAUUGUUUUGGCAUAUGAGGGAAUGAUGAAGAUGAAAAGCGUUUUUGUCCCCUGAGGAGUCUGUGUGGAAUAAUGAACCAUUGCUGGACAUCAUUUGGCCUUUCCAUUUCUUCACAGCUACCAAGAGCCUCACAACUUCACUGCACCUUCCCUGGUUUUUAUUGAAUGAAACGCUUGAGAGCACCUCUUGUAUGAUAGACAGUGGGUUGGCGCUCAAGAUGCAAAGUUGAACAAGACACAGUGCCUGCACUCAAGAAGUUCGUGGUCUGUUGGGUGAAAUACAUAUAAACAGAGCAAUAAAACAGCGUGGAAAGGGCACUGUAUACUAUACUAUGACAAGAACGAGGAAGAUGGAACUGACCGUGUGGGGGAACUGGGGGCAUCUAACAGAGGAGAAUAUGGCAGCCGUUAGAAACCUCUAGAAGCCGUGAACAGCCCUUAGCUACAGCCAACAAGAAAACAAGAUCUUGAUCCUACAGCCACAUAGAACAGAACUCUGCCAACAACUGGAUGAACAAGGGCAUGUGGGAUCUCAGUUCCCCGACCAGGGAUUGAACCCAUGUCUCCUGC